rnacentral:misc_RNA from 1 species
CUCGGGCAGCGACAACGUCCCAUGUACGCCUCUUCAGUUGUUGGCGCAGGCACGUGCUUGGCCGAAGUCGGUUUUCCUGUGUUGAAUACCUAUCCMGAAGGCAUUCCGUCGGCUAUAAUUGACCGUUUUCCACUCCGUGCCGCUGCCCCUUGCGGGAAGCGGUGCGGGGAGGACCAYAAGGYGGCCGCCGUGUUUCGYACCGUGAUCRCCCCUUCGGGUGUUCYGGUUGACGACCCACGGYGCGUUGCYMGAUCUCUCGGGUGCGGAACAUCUCGUGGGUACGGGGCGUCAGCCUCCGAUAACCACAAAAACAAGCGUUCUACRCUUCGUGCGAACGACGGUCGGCACGGUCUYCGAUCUCGAUUGGAGUCGUGUYGGCGUCGAUGAGGAAUGCUACC